GAUGAACGCUGGCGGCGUGCCUAAUACAUGCAAGUCGAGCGAACGGACGAGAAGCUUGCUUCUCUGAUGUUAGCGGCGGACGGGUGAGUAACACGUGGAUAACCUACCUAUACGACUGGGAUAACUUCGGGAAACCGGAGCUAAUACCGGAUAAUAUUUUGAACCGCAUGGUUCAAAAGUGAAAGACGGUCUUGCUGUCACUUAUAGAUGGAUCCGCGCUGCAUUAGCUAGUUGGUAAGGUAACGGCUUACCAAGGCAACGAUGCAUAGCCGACCUGAGAGGGUGAUCGGCCACACUGGAACUGAGACCCGGUCCAGACUCCUACGGGAGGCAGCAGUAGGGAAUCUUCCGCAAUGGGCGAAAGCCUGACGGAGCAACGCCGCGUGAGUGAUGAAGGUCUUCGGAUCGUAAAACUCUGUUAUUAGGGAAGAACAUAUGUGUAAGUAACUGUGCACAUCUUGACGGUACCUAAUCAGAAAGCCACGGCUAACUACGUG
rnacentral:rRNA from 1 species